UACGGGGGGGGCAAGCGUUGUUCGGAAUUACUGGGCGUAAAGGGCUCGUAGGCGGCCCUCUCAGUCGGAUGUGAAAUCCCCAGGCUUAACCUGGGAAUGGCAUCCGAUACUGGAGGGCUUGAAUUCGGGAGAGGGAUGCAGAAUUCCAGGUGUAGCGGUGAAAUGCGUAGAUAUCUGGAGGAAUACCGGUGGCGAAGGCGGCAUCCUGGACCGAGAUUGACGCUGAGGAGCGAAAGCUAGGGGAGCAAACGGGG
rnacentral:rRNA from 1 species